rnacentral:lncRNA from 1 species
UCACAUCAAAUAAUGAUUAAUUAAAAUAAACACCUAAUAAAUAAAUACAAAAAUUAAAUCGGGGUGUUACAAGCCACACAUGUCUCCCCAAGUUCAACCUUGAGCAUGCUUCGAGCUCCACACCUUUCUGAAUAAAACCUUUCACAUUAUCCCCCCAAAACCAUUCCAUCACCUUCCCUAUAAAUAGGGGAAGGUAUUCCAUUCAUUCUCCAAGCUUCAAAAGCCAAAUAUACCCUGAUGUAUACCUGAGUUGAACCUCUAAAAACAGAGUUUCGAUUUUUAAGUUUCAAAGCAUUCUAAUUC